CAUUGAGGGGAUGAGAAAGUUGUCGGAAAAAAUGAUGUCGAUCGAAAAUACUUCCAGACUACAAUUAUCUGAUCAAUG